UACGUAGGGUCCGAGCGUUGUCCGGAAUUACUGGGCGUAAAGAGCUCGUAGGUGGUUUGUCGCGUUGUUCGUGAAAACUCACAACUCAAUUGUGGGCGUGCGGGCGAUACGGGCAGACUGGAGUACUGCAGGGGAGACUGGAAUUCCUGGUGUAGCGGUGGAAUGCGCAGAUAUCAGGAAGAACACCCGUGGCGAAGGCGGCUCUCUGGGACGGUACUGACGCUGAGGAGCGAAAGCGUGGGGAGCGAACAGG
rnacentral:rRNA from 1 species